UGGGGAAUUUUACACAAUGGGGGAAACCCUGAUGUAGCAACGCCGCGUGGAGGAUGACGGAUCUAGGUCUGUAAACUCCUUUUAUAAGGGAAGAAAUUUGACGGUACCUUAUGAAUAAGCACCGGCUAACUCCGUGCCAGCAGCCGCGGUACUACGGGGGGUGCAAGCGUUACUCGGAAUCACUGGGCGUAAAGGGAGCGUAGGCGUUUUAUUAAGUCUUGAGUGAAAGCUCGCAGCUCAACUGCGGAACUGCUCAGGAAACUGAUAGAAUUGAGUAUGGAAGGGGUAGGUGGAA
rnacentral:rRNA from 1 species